rnacentral:lncRNA from 1 species
CAGGCGGCUGGCAGAGGUUAAGGCCUGACUUCUGCUCCCAGUCGACCCAGUCGACCCGGGUUCAAAUCCGCCUGCCGGCUCCUCGGGUGUUUGAGGAGUGAUGAAAUGGGAGGUGGCCCCCCAUCUUAUGGACGGUGUAGGACGUGAUAAUAUCAACUUGCGAGCUGACCAGGAACUAAGUUGAUGCGCCGUUGAUCCGCUAGAUUUGGUUGGAUGCUGGUGGUGAGUUGCCGAACCCAACGAAUACAUUCUGAAGUCGGAUGGGGUGACGGAUUAGGGUGCCCCUCUAGCAGGGGAGAGCAGGGACUGCCCCGGGAAAGGGGGCCGCUGGCGAAGUUGACCACCCUGUAACAACAUACAUACACUACAACAAUCGAAUAACAAGCGUUGUUCCUACAUACAGCGGGUGUUUCUAUCGCGAACACAAACAAGCAAACAGCGGUGCUCGUCGGGAGCCCAGUCACAGGCCCAGCCCCAGCAAAAUGACGAACCCGAGAAACUCCCAACCCAGUCUAGGAAUGCGCUGAGCUUCCACAAGCAGCCAAGUUUGCCAAUGCAUGCCUGUUUCAAUUGCCUCCUUCAGGGUGUUGCGUUGCCGGAGAUUGAGUUGUGAUCACAGGUCAUUUACGUCCUCCUGCCUCAGUAACCCUCCCUUUCAAGAACUUGGAGUAUGGGAGCUAUCGAGGCCUCAGUCUCUCCAUCGACUGCAGCGAUCACUUCACGCACAGUCGGCAUUGGAGCAGAAGUUCUGCGAGGCGACACCACAUCGGAUCCUAUGGCAUGUCUCAGCGAGCUGACCCUGCUAGCACAAAAGCUCGUCCACUCUCAGCCGCAAUGCUUAAACAAAGUGAAGAGAUAAGGCUGGGUUUCUUUCUGCAGUUAGCUGUAAAUACAAUUGUUUGGAUUGUGAAGGCGCAUCUCUGAGGAGCUGUGUUGUGAACAUAUGCAUUUUUAUGCAGCCUCUGUAACAAAGCAAAGGCAUAAACCGGGAUGCUCAGAUGGGCCUUGCGUUGUUACAUUGCCCCCCUUUAGCAAAGGACGUCCUCGGCCAUUAUAUCGAGCAUUGGAGCCAUCCCACCUCACGCCUCGUGCGCUGGUUUAUCCAUUACACCAUGAUAAUCGCAUUUUGUGAUACCUGCUUGUUGUCAGAAUCGAACCGCCGACCCAAAGAUUUCAUCGGAAGUCGUGCGGCCCCGUCUCGAUACCAUUGUAACAAAGCAAAGGCGUAACCCGGGAUGCUCAGGUGAGCCUUGCGUUGUUAAGCAGCCUGUAAGGACGUUAGGCCCAUUGGCCGCUCGUCCGAAUCAAGUAUUCUCUAACUAACGCCAAAGGCGUUCCUGUACGAUAGGGCCUUAUGGCACUAGCGUCCAACUCAGUUAAAAUACUGAUCUUUACCUAAAAACGGUAUUCUUCAAUACCACCAAAUUGUGGACUUCUAACUCCUUGAGUUAGUUAGCAUACUACGCGGCACCCUAUAGGGACCUAGCAUCGUUACAGUUUGGCAUCGAAGACCACAAAAUCCUGCGACCUCAAACGGUCAUUGCUUCCGCGAAUUCUCCCACAAGCUAAUUCUCAUAAUGUCUGCAAAAAUCUCCAACAGCGUGGACAGCGACUGCAGCGGCAGGAGCAACCGUAAUGGCAGGAAGUCCACCCGCGCCCGCGACAUGGAGGUAACAUGCCUCAAAACGGCGAAGCAUGCUUAUAAUCGUGAGGUUCAAAUGUUCAACCUCGCGCGCAAGGCGCAUCCCGAUUAUAAGUUGCCCGCCGAAUUGAAGUUGCUAGUCAAUCACGUGCUGCGGGACAAGACCGCUGAUCUUUACUGGUGUGCAUUUAAAGAGCUAAAAGCUCAC